GAAAAUCUCUUUAUUUCAAGGUAGGCCUAGAGAUGAAAUCCGAGAGGCAAACAUAAUCAUCGGUAACCUUAAUUUUAUAACAUAAUUAAGACAGUCAUACACACUGUAGCAUCCACAGCUAGAGUUCAUCAGUACACACGUAUCUGAGAAUACAAAUACUUGUAGGAUAUUAUAUAAGGACGGAACCACGAAAUUCCUAAGUCUUAUAGGACGGCUCAACAAUUAUAUAUAUAUAAAAACAAAUUUUAACUAAACUUAGUAUUUUUCUAAUGUAUUUUUUUAACCAGACGUGAGACUCAAGUCCAACCUGCCCAUGCCUAAUUCCGCUGCUGAUAUUAUAUAUGUUAUAUGACAUACAUAAAGCAACACUUGUAUACAUGGAGUACAUUAAUUUAAGCAUAUAUGCAUCGAUCAUUUGCAAAACUUAAUUUAUGGCCUGGUUUGUUGCUGGAUCAUUGAACCCCUUCUUCUUCCUCCAGAUGGAGUCCCAGGCUAUGUCAUCGACGUUGAUCACCUCGCCGGCCUUCUUCUCCGGCGCCGCCGCCGGUGGCAGCAGCACCCCGUUCAUGACCGGCACGAUCUUGUACUCCACCCUCUGGACAUGAACUUCGCCGCCGUCGGCCGGUACACGAACGCCGCCGCUGCUGCCGCCGUGGUUGCCGCCGCCUCGCGACAUCGCCGGAGAUGGAUUGUCUAGCUAGAAUUAAUAUGUACUCUAGGUAGAUUGAUAUGCUAGCUCUUGGUUGAUACGGAUCGUAUUUAUAGGCUCCAUGCAUGGCUCAGCUGGAAAAGAUCCAAUUAUAUUGUGCAAUUAACUCUCUCUGAUAUGAACAAGUAGUAGCUUUGCAUAUCGUUAAAGUUGCAUGCGAGUGUAACUUACAAUGUAAGGCACCGGUGAACGU
rnacentral:lncRNA from 1 species